rnacentral:rRNA from 1 species
GACGAACGCUGGCGGCGUGCUUAAUACAUGCAAGUCAACUGAAGCAGUGGUAGCAAUAUCGCUGUGGAGGUGGCGCACGGGUGAGUAACACGUAGGUAAUCUGCCUUCAGGUCUGGCAUAACUCCGGGAAACCGGGGCUAAUAGCAGAUGAUGCAGCGGCUCGACAUCGAGACAGUUGUUAAAGCUAUGGCGCCUGAAGAUGAGCCUGCGUCUGAUUAGCUAGUUGGCGGGGUAACGGCCCACCAAGGCAACGAUCAGUAGCUGGUCUGAGAGGAUGAUCAGCCACAGUGGAACUGAGACACGGUCCAGACUGCUACGGGAGGCAGCAGUAAGGGAUAUUGCUCAAUGGGAGAAAUCCUGAAGCAGCAACGCCGCGUGAGGGACGAAGGGCUUUAGCUUGUAAACCUCUGUAGUGAGAGAAAAAAAUCCCAAUCUUUGGGACAUGAUGGUAUCUCAAAAGUAAGCCCCGGCUAACUACGUG